UUGGAUUCUACAUCUUCCGAUCCAAGAUCGUUUCUUGCUCUCAUACUAACUUCUUUGCGAACAGUCACUUUCCCUCCUGCCUGUCUUUUUGGAAUGUCGUAUAGCCCUGCGCACUUAGCUCCAGUGUUGAUCUCCUUGUAACCAUGUCUUUGUAAUAGCUAUAAAAUCAUGCCCGUCAACCUAGAAAUGUGCUAUUAAUUUGUUGAUUUUGUUCUGAAUACAAUGAGCACGCAAGCAAAGAGCCAUGAAUUUAGCUUUAUCACUUGAUUUCACCUCUUGACACUAUUUACAGCUGUUUUCUGUUUGUACAUGCUGUAUUUUCCAGUACCACGCUGAGUAUUGUUAUCCCGAUAGUUCUUUCGUCUCAGUCCGUGUGUAUUCCUGGGCGAAUGUGCUCGUGUGGUCUCAGGAGUUGCGGAGGUCACGGCUCUGGGACAGCCGUUUCAUCGCCCUGUGCUGCAGGAAAAAAGCAAUGCAAGUGCCGUUAAUUUUUUGCAUGGCGAGCUGCUGCAUACUAACCGGUCUCACACCAUUACCAUCACCUUGCCCUUGUGAAGGCAGAUAUGGAUAAGGUUCUCAAAGCUGACAGAAGAUUGAAACCACUCUAAUCCUGUGACGAUGAACCUGCCCCGGAAGAGAGAGCCCAGAGAAUUGCCAAAGCUGUCCGCAAACAGUCAAUAGAAGUGAAGGAAAAUUGGGAACAACUGAAAAUCCGUGCGAGCAACUGGCAGAAACAGGUGGAAAAGGCGUUGGAGAAACUUCAAGAACUGCAGAAAGUUCUGGAUGAUCUUGAGGCUCAUGUGAUAACAGCUGAGGGGGUCCACACUGAUUGGCAACCUGUGAGUGACCUGCUUCUUGACUCAUUGCAGGAUCACAUUGAUAAAACCACAGGUAAGGACUAUCUGCAAAAUCUGUGAUUGGGUUUUGAAAGACAGCAGCCUUUGUUUUGGAGAGAUAAUGGGAACUGCAGAUACUGGAGAAUGCGAGAUAACAACGUGUGGAGCUGGAUGAAGACAGCAGGCCAAGCAGCAUAUUCGGAGCACAAAAGCUGACAUUUCGGGCCGAGAACCUUGUUCAGAAAAUGGGGAGGGGGUGCGGGUUCUGAAAUAAAUGGGGAGAGAGGGGGAGGCGGAUGGAAGAUGGAUGGAGGAGAGGAGAGUAUGGGUAGGGAGGCAGGGAGGGGAUAGGUCAGUCUGGGGAGGCCGGACAGGUCAAGGGAGCGGGAUGAGGGGAAAUAGGGGUGCGGUAUGAGGUGGGAGGGGGGAUGGGUGAGAGGAAGAAUAGGUUAGGGAGGCGGGGACGAGCUGGGCUGGUUUUGGGAUGCAGUGGCAGGACAGGAGAGUUGGAAGCUUGUGAAAUCCACAUUGAUACCAUUGGGCUGCAGGGUUCCCAAGCAGAAUAUGAGUUGCUGUUCCUGCAACCUUCGGGUGGCGUCAUAAUGGCACUGCAGGAGGCCCAGGUUGGACAUGUCCUCUCGGGAAUGGGAGGGGGAGUUGAAAUGGUUAGUGACUGGGAGGUGCAGUUGUUUAUUGCAAACUGAGCGUAGCUGUUCUGAAAAGCGGUCCCCAAGCCUCUGCAUCGUUUCCCCAAUGUCGAGGAAGCCACAACGGGGACAGCGGAUGUUUUGGAUAUUUCUUAAGCAUUGAUUUUCAUUCAGAGUUGGUUGGAUUUUGCUGAAGCAAUAGACAUAACUCAAUAUGACGUAGACAAUGUCAGAGUUAAUGUUUCGCGUCCUGUGACCCUUCCUCAGAUCUCACUCUUCACUGAUGCUGCCAGACCUGCUGAGCUUUUCCAGCAACUUCUGCUUUUGUUGCUGAUUUACAGUGCCCACUGUUCUUUUUUUUACAACACAGACAAAACUUGAUCUCUGCAGGAAGCAUGAUGCUGCAUUCUCCAACUUCCCUGCCUUUUUGUAAUAUAAUAUUGUCUUUUUAGGACAGAAGUGGCUUUUUUUUGUUUGUUUUAACUUCCGCACAUACUUUCUAUGCAGGUUAAAAGUCUAUACCUUUUCAGUUCUGUGCUGUAUAAUGAAGACUUGGAACAAUUUUUUUUUUAUAAAGUAGAAAAUCAGUGUGGUUUGUUUUCCAAAAUGUGAUGUGUAAGUGCAACGCUUAACAGUGUGUUCAUCAAACUAUUGUUUCCUUUGAUCUUUGUGUUGCAGAAAUUUCUAGAAUCAUUUCAUAUAUAUUUUUCUUGAUAUAUUUUAGCAGCUUUCCUGGAGCAAGUCUGUUUUCCUUCGGAUGAGACGACUUUCAGACAUACUCCCUUUAUUAUGAGAUUUAAUUGCGGUAAAAUGAGGAGGAUUUUUAUUCACUGAGACACACAUGACUAUAUGUUUAAAGCAUUGGCAAAAGAGUUCUGUUCAGACUGUCAUGUUAUCUGGUGUUUGUACCAGGCUUUCCGAUGAAAUGCAAGUGAUUAAGGAUGCUAAUGAUGCCACAUGUUAUUACAAGAGGAAAUGAACAUUCAAGUAAGGAUUUUAUGCCACAUUUAUACAUAGCAUGGACCAUGCAGCAUGGAUGCAGUGACUGAGUGAAAUGGGAUGCAGUGACUGAGUGAAAUGGGAUGCAGUGACUGAGUGAAAUGCUCACACCGACUUGCCCCUCCAGUCCAGAUCCGCUCACAGUGACUAGCCCCUGCAGUCCUGACCCGCUCACAGCGACUUUCCCCCUCACUCCUGACCCGCUCACUGUGACGAGCCCCUGCAGUCCUGACCCGCUCACAGCGACUUUCCCCCUCACUCCUGACCCGCUCACAGUGACUUGCCCCUGCAGUCCUGACCCCCUCACAGUGACCUGCCCCCUCACUCCUGACCCGGUCUGCAUUGAGGAAACCAAGCAGAGGCUUGGGGACCGCUUUGCAGAACACCUCCACUCGGUUCGCAACAAACAACUGCACUUCCCAGUCGCGAACCAUUUUAACUCCCCCUCCCAUUCCUUAGACGACAUGUCCAUCAUGGGCCUCCUGCAGUGCCACAAUAAUGCCACCCGAAGGUUGCAAGAACAGCAACUCAUAAUCCGCUUGGGAACCCUGCAACCCACUGGUAUCAAUGUGGACUUCACCAGCUUCAAAAUCUCCCCUUCCCCAACUGCAUCCCAAAACCAGCUCAGUUCUUCCCUUGCCCCUACUGCAUCACAAAACCAGCCCAGCUGUUCCCUUCCCCCAACUGCAUCCCAAAACCAGCCCAGCCUGUCUCCGCCUCCCUAACAUGUUGUUCCUCUCACCCAUCCCUUCCUCCCACCUCAAGCCACACCUCAUCCUGCCUCCUUGACCUGUCUGUCUUCCCUGGACUGACCUAUGCCCUCCCUACCUCCUCACCUGUACUCUCCUCUCUACCUAUCUUGUUUUCUCUCCAUCUUCGGUCCGCAUCCCGCCCCCCCUCCCUAUUUAUUCCAGUUCCCUCUCCCAUCCCCCUCUCUGAUGAAGGGUCUAGGCCCGAAAUGUCAGCUUUUGUGCUCCUGAGAUGCUGCUUGGCCUGCUGUGUUCAUCCAGCUCCACACUUUGUUAUCUUGGAUUCUCCAGCUCCCAUUAUCAGUGGCAUUUUCCUCUUCAUCAAAGUUUGUGCAAAAGCAACACGAUAUGGGGCGGCACGGUGGCUCAGCGGUUCGCACUGCAGCCUCACAGCACUGGGGACCCAGGUUCAAUUCCAGCCUCAGUCUGUGUGGAAUUUGCACCUUGUCCCUGUGUCUGCAUGGGUUUCCACCAGGUGCUCCGGUCUCCUCCCACAGUCCAAAGAUGUGCACGCUAGGUGGAUUGGCCAUUCUAAAUUGCCCAUCGUGUUCAGGGGCGUGGGUCUGGGUGGGAUGCUCCAAGGUUUGGUGUGCACUUGUUGGGCCAAAGGGCCUGUAUCCACACUGUAGGGAAUCUAAACAAUCCUGUUCCCACAUCUCCAUGAUAUAACCCUGCUGAUCACUGCACACAGAGAUGUUUGAUAACAAAAGGAUAACAAUAAUAUUCAAACCCAGUGCUGGAGAUGUAUUUUAAAUACACUGAGGCCAGUGUCGAUCUCCAAUUAAACUUUUAUUUACAAAUGAACUGUCUUCAACUUUAGCACUGCCUCAUUCAGAGAUAGUUGCCAGGGUGUCAGCAUCUCUGACCCUCACACUUCUUAUCUGUCAGCCAGGGCUCCCUGAUUUGGGCUGUUAAUAUGGAACAAUCAGGCAACUCAUAUUCUGUGAGGUUCAACUGGCCGACCUGGUCACAAACCAGUGCAGUGUGUUCAUCGAAAAUCAAACGUACCAGAAAGAUACCAUUCCAUACCAGUGCAAAGGAAGGCAUGAGGCGAAACUGGGGAGGGAAGGGAACUGCUUAUUGGCGGUGGCCCAGAGAGUAGAAGAAAAUCGAAUGGGAAGAAGACCAUUUGAGACUGAGGGAGAGAGAUGUAAUUGCCUGAAUGAGGCAUUCCAAUUGCGAAAUGGAUUUUUGUGUGUACACCAUGUUCAGUUUCCCCGAUCUGUGCUCCUCUUUAAAUCAUUAGUAUCUGAAAUUUCUGUAUCAUUUCCAAAUGUUCUGUCUCUAAUGUUAUGCUGUUGGAAUUGGUUGAACUGCAGAGAUUAUUUAUUUGCACAAAUGUGUUCAGUGAAAUGAGUUGCAUGCUAUAUAUUUAUUAUUCUUCCUGAUUCUAUUAUACA